CUGCCGGCGACCGGCGCACGGGUGAGUAACACGUAUGCAACCUGCCCUCCGCAGGGGGAUAACCCGGAGAAAUCCGGACUAAUACCGCGUGGUACACCAGUGGGGCAUCCCACGGGUGUUAAAAGGAAGCGAUUCCGGCGGAGGAUGGGCAUGCGGCGCAUUAGCUUGUUGGCGGGGUAACGGCCCACCAAGGCGACGAUGCGUAGGGGUUCUGAGAGGAAGGUCCCCCACACUGGGACUGAGACACGGCCCAGACUCCUACGGGAGGCAGCAG
rnacentral:rRNA from 1 species